AUUGAACGCUGGCGGCGUGCCUAAUACAUGCAAGUCGAGCGAAUGACGAGAAGCUUGCUUCUCUGAUUUAGCGGCGGACGGGUGAGUAACACGUGGGCAACCUGCCCUACAGAUCGGGAUAACUCAGGGAAACCUGGGCUAAUACCGGAUAAUCCUUCGAAUCACAUGUUUUGAAGUUGAAAGGCGCUUCGGCGUCACUGUAGGAUGGGCCCGCGGUGCAUUAGCUAGUUGGUGGGGUAACGGCCUACCAAGGCAACGAUGCAUAGCCGACCUGAGAGGGUGAUCGGCAACAUUGGGACUGAGACACGGCCCAAACUCCUACGGGAGGCAGCAGUAGGGAAUCUUCCACAAUGGACGAAAGUCUGAUGGAGCAACGCCGCGUGAGUGAUGAAGGUUUUCGGAUCGUAAAACUCUGUUGUAAGGGAAGAACAAGUACGUUAGGAAAUGAACGUACCUUGACGGUACCUUAUUAGAAAGCCACGGCUAACUACGUGCCAGCCGCCGCCGUAA
rnacentral:rRNA from 1 species